rnacentral:rRNA from 1 species
UCCAGACUCCUACGGGAGGCAGCAGUGGGGAAUAUUGCACAAUGGGGGAAACCCUGAUGCAGCAACGCCGCGUGAGUGAAGAAGUAUUUCGGUAUGUAAAGCUCUAUCAGCAGGGAAGAGAAUGACGGUACCUGACUAAGAAGCCCCGGCUAACUACGUGCCAGCAGCCGCGGUAAUACGUAGGGGGCAAGCGUUAUCCGGAUUUACUGGGUGUAAAGGGAGCGUAGACGGCUGGCCAAGUCUGAAGUGAAAGCCCGGGGCUUAACCCCGGAACGGCUUUGGAAACUGGCCGGCUGGAGUGCUGGAGAGGCAGGCGGAAUUCCUGGUGUAGCGGUGAAAUGCGUAGAUAUUAGGAGGAACACCAGUGGCGAAGGCGGCUUACUGGACGAUGACUGACGCUGAGGCUCGAAAGCGUGGGGAGCAAACAGGAUUAGAUACCCGCGUAAA